rnacentral:rRNA from 1 species
UACGGAGGGUGCAAGCGUUGUCCGGAUUUAUUGGGUUUAAAGGGUGCGUAGGCGGCCUAAUAAGUCAGUGGUGAAAGCCUCCCGCUUACCGGGAGAACUGCCAUUGAUACUGUUGGACUUGAGUACAGACGAGGUAGGCGGAAUUGACAGUGUAGCGGUGAAAUGCAGAGAUAUUGUCAAGAACACCGAUAGCGAAGGCAGCUUGCUAGCCUGUAACUGACGCUGAGGCACGAAAGUAUGGGGAUCAAACAGG